rnacentral:misc_RNA from 1 species
GAUGAAGAACGUAGCGAAAUGCGAUAAGUAGUGUGAAUUGCAGAAUUCAGUGAAUCAUCGAAUCUUUGAACGCACAUUGCGCCCCUUGGUAUUCCAUGGGGCAUGCCUGUUCGAGCGUCAUUUGUACCUUCAAGCCUUGCUUGGUGUUGGGUGUUUGUCUCGCCUCUGCGCGCAGACUCGCCUCAAAACAAUUGGCAGCCGGCGUAUUGAUUUCGGAGCGCAGUACAUCUCGCGCUUUGCACUCAGAACGACGACGUCCAAAAGUACAUUUUUACACUCUUGACCUCGGAUCAGGUAGGGAUACCCGCUGAACUUAAGCAUAUCAAUAACGGAGGA